GUCAGUCGCAGGGAGCACACGGAGAAACCAGCUCCUUGGAGGUCUUCCCUCAGCCCUUCAGACUGCGCAGCCGCCCACGCCUGCCUGCCCGAGGACCAGUGGGAACAGUAAACAGAAUACAAAAGAGUUUCUCCAACUUCGUUGGCUGUGGCUCACGGGAGACGAUGCAAUUCACAUGGCAACCCCAUACACACACGACGGUGACAGUGAUGCCCGUCUGGGAGAGUGUUCACGGAGCCCUUUGUGAUGGACACAUUCUUACAGGGCUCUGCAGGCAGUGAUGGAACUAGAUAUCCAGCCGCCACCCUCCCAGAGCUCAGGUCCCAUCGCAGGGACCACUGACUCAAGCCUGCUGCGGUGGAUUAAGCAACCAUGAAGAGGCGCAGUACGGGGGCCGCAGAGUGCAGGCUGCCCUGCCCAGCUCAGCCAGACGUGUGGUUACCAGCCCUGGUUCCCAGCCAUCCGUGAGGUGCUGGUUCCCCCCUGGGUCCUGACAUGGACUGUGGACAAGGGCAAGAUUCCAGGAGUCAGGACCUGAUGGAAGUGGGGUGCCCCCAGGAUUGCUAGAGAGCCCCAGCUCCACGGAAACACAGUCACUGGGCCAGGUUAGAGAUACACUCAGCCAUUUAAUACCCCUAGGGCUGCUGUGAGGUUUCACACGGUCAUGGCCCAGGGCUGUCGCCCCCAUGGAAGAGGAUCUGCCUGUCAGAGGGGCCCGGCAGGUGACCGGGGCGGGGGAUGUCGGUGGGGCAGCUGUCUUCCUUCAUGCUGGGGUUUGCUCUGGGUGCCCCUGCAGCUAUCUCCAGCUCCCCAUGUAAGGGAGAGUGAUGCUGGCCUAAGGGCUGCUUCAGAGCCCGAGUAUCUGUGGGGUGGGGGCAGGCCGGGGUGCAGCCUGGGGAAACAGAGCUGGCAGGAGGCAAGCCUGGGAUCCUUUUCUACCUCAGCCCCGCUCCCUGCCGGGGCUUCCUCCCACUACUGUUGCCACGCUUAGCAAAUAAAAAUAUAGG